GUAGACACAAUAUAACGGCAUUCUACUGUAUUUAUAACUCGAAGGAAAUAAAACAUUACUAUCCAGUAUUUUUGUAAACUGCAGUGAGCACGCCGGGACUUUCAUCCGUCUUGUUAACAGUGAUAAACGCGCCAAAUGCGACAUCAUCGAGUGCAACUGGAUUUCUGACUCUGUGACUCGGAUUAUAUUAUUCCCAAUUACAGGGUUCAGGUGAAACACCAGGAAGAAGAAUCCAGCACUGGAUGAUCAGCCUUGAGGAGCACAUCAUUUGUGAGGGCAUCCAGCCAGCUUUUCUGUCUGGGCUUGCAGCUGAUUUUUCUACUUACAACAAUUUCAAUCUUCAAUACCAAGCUGAAGACGCAUGCAUGUUGCAAAUUAUUCAACGGUGGUUCAUCGAGAUAAAUCCGGAAAAGGGACCAGGGCUGGAGGAGUCAUAUCAAAGUGGACGGGGAAGGUCACCCAGAAAAAGAAAACCGUGAACCCUCGUGUCUGC